CUCUUAUCAAGAGCCGGUGGAGGGAACAUACCCUAUGAAACCCAGCAACCUCUUUUCUAAAAAGAAAGGUGCUAAAGGAUGCAGAAGUUAUUCUGAUCGAUAAGGG
rfam:Salinicoccus halodurans strain H3B36, complete genome.